AGGGAAAUAUAACGCUAAUGCCAUUCAAAGCUGAGUCAUGAACCAAGCUGAUCUUGCCAUUGCCCGUGUAAUUGAAACCAAAUCUCAAGGGUAAACCGGUCCAUAGCUCCAGAAAAUAUCUCUUCCUCAAGCGCCGAAGCUUUUAUCACGGAAAUGAGAAGCUUACUCUCGUCGUCUCGCUUCCUUUCCAAGUCAACAAUUGCUUUUACUCAUCAGUCUCUGCGACUGAGUUCCCUCAGCUUCCUUUUCUAUUUUAAGUCCUCUCUGUCUCUUCGAAGCUUCGCGAUUAUGGCUACUGCCUCUGAGGAGUUCGUUAAGGGAAAUGUUUUUCCAAACGGCGUCGCUGUCAUCACUCUCGACCGCCCCAAAGCUCUCAAUGCCAUGAAUUUAGAUAUGGAUUUAAAGUACAAAAGUUUUCUCGAUGAAUGGGAAUCGGAUCCACGGGUCAAAUGCGUUUUGGUUGAAGGCAGCUCGUCUCGUGCAUUCUCCGCAGGAAUGGAUAUUAAAGGGGUUGUUGCUGAAAUUCAAAAGGACAAAAAUACGCCUCUUGUGCAGAAGGUAUUCACAGCAGAAUAUUCUCUAAUAUGCAAAAUUUCUUCGUACAAGAAACCAUAUGUAUCCUUGAUGGAUGGCAUAACAAUGGGUUUCGGAGUUGGCCUAUCUGGUCAUGGUUGCUACCGGAUUGUAACAGAGAGAACUGUUCUUGCUAUGCCGGAAAACGGAAUUGGCUUGUUCCCAGACGUUGGUUUUUCAUAUAUAGCUGCACGUAGUCCAGGAGAAGGAUCAGUUGGUGCUUAUCUUGGAUUGACUGGCAAGAGGAUCUCUACACCCUCUGAUGCACUAUUUGUAGGUCUUGGAACACACUAUGUGCCAUCUGGAAAUCUAGUCUCACUGAAGGAGGCCCUUUUGGCAACUAACUUUUCUGAGGAACCACAUGAUGACAUCAAAGUACUUUUGGCAAAGUACAGCAAUGAACCAGAGUCUGAGGCUGAGUUAAAGUUGCUUUUGCCUCGAAUUAUUUCAACAUUUGGGGCAAGUAAGUCGGUAAAGGAGAUGAUUGAAGAGCUGAAAAAGCAUCAGCAGAGUGCUGAUGGCAAAGUGAUGCAGUGGGCUAAUGAUGCGCUUCAAGGUCUGGGAAAGGGUGCUCCUUUUUCUCUUUGCUUGACACAUAAGUAUUUUUCCAAAGUUGCAUCCGCCUAUGGAAAACCCAACAAUGAACUAUCAACUCUAAAUGGUGUGAUGAAAACAGAGUAUCGCAUUGCCCUAAGGUCGUCUCUACGAAAUGAUUUCACUGAAGGGGUUAGGGCAGUCUUGGUGGACAAGGAUCAGGUACUUUCAGUUGCUGGUCUGCCAAGCCACUUCACUGAGAAUCUUCUAUACUGGUUGCCGCGUCUAGUUUAGGCUUCUUUUACAUCUAACACUUCUUCAAUAACAUCAAGCUUCACAACCGGAAGUUGUUGGACUUGAGCUUCAAUGGUAGAAGUACCAUCAAAUCCGUCAAACGAAUACAAGUUAGAAGCAUUAAAGAUGAGCUAAUUUGCAAAUCAGGUGGCAACUCAAUCAGAACCCAAGGUGGAAUCCCCCAAGCUUGGAAGAAGUUGAUCAAAAUGAAGUGGAUUCUCUCUUCAAACCACUGAGCCCAGAAGUUGAGUUGAGGGCGUGAGUUCAUCUGAAAUUAUCGUGUCUUGAUUCACUUAAAUGACAAGAGCAUUGGAUUCGGAGACUGUAGAGAUGCAGUUGCUGCUACAUUGUAAUUGAAUCUUUUAUACUUCAAAUAUCGUCUGAUGCAAUAAUGUGGUUAAUCUUGUGCUUACGGACUGGCUGUUUUGACAAGGGUUGUAUCACAUGUGCUUGUAGCUCUUCUAUUACUAGUCCAUGAUUGACGUGUUUGAUUUUGGUUUUAUAAGUUCCAUCAGUUGAGCGAAA